UACGUAGGGUGCAAGCGUUGUCCGGAAUUAUUGGGCGUAAAGAGCUUGUAGGCGGUCUGUCGCGUCUGCUGUGAAAAUCCGGGGCUCAACCCCGGACUUGCAGUGGGUACGGGCAGACUAGAGUGUGGUAGGGGAGACUGGAAUUCCUGGUGUAGCGGUGAAAUGCGCAGAUAUCAGGAGGAACACCAAUGGCGAAGGCAGCUCACUGGGACGGUAUUGACGCUGAGACGCGAAAGCGUGGGGAGCAAACAGG
rnacentral:rRNA from 1 species